rnacentral:rRNA from 1 species
CCUACGGGAGGCAGCAGUAGGGAAUCUUCCACAAUGGACGCAAGUCUGAUGGAGCAACGCCGCGUGAGUGAAGAAGGUUUUCGGAUCGUAAAGCUCUGUUGUUGGUGAAGAAGGAUAGAGGCAGUAACUGGUCUUUAUUUGACGGUAAUCAACCAGAAAGUCACGGCUAACUACGUGCCA